rnacentral:rRNA from 1 species
CAGUUAACACCUGCAUUAUUUGACGUUACCUACAGAAGAAGCACCCGGCUAACUCCGUGCCAGCAGCCGCGGUAAUACGGAGGGGUGCGAGCGUUAAUCGGAAUUACUGGGCGUAAAGCGCAUGCAGGCGGCCUGUUAAGUCAGAUGUGAAAGCCCGGGGCGUUAACCUCGGAAUUGCAUUUGAAACUGGCAGGCUAGAGUCUUGUAGAGGGGGGUAGGAAUUUCAGGUGUAGCGGUGAAAUGCGUAGAGAUCUGAAGGAAUACCAGUGGCGAAGGCGGCCCCCCUGGACAAAGACUGACGCUCAGAUGCGAAAGCGUGGGGAGCAAACAGGAUUAGAUACCCCUGGUAG